rnacentral:snRNA from 1 species
GCUCCCUUGGGCUGCAGGUGAUUAUUGAAAAUGAUACAGAGAAAAUUGCCCUGAGCAAGGAUGACAUGCAAACUCCUGAAACGGUGCUUUUUCCA